GAGAGAGACUUAGAAGUAACGGAAACUGCUAAUUUUCGCAACCUUGGUUAAAGCCCGAGGCUCACUCG
rnacentral:tRNA from 1 species